CUACAUGAACAAACCAAAAUUUCUUUCCGGAAUGGGAGGUUAUUUUUAUUUUAAAUUUAUGAUUUUGUGAUUAAUGUUUAAUGACGAUGUUCAACAUGGUAAAAUGCGAGAUGACGUCAGGAACUUUUGUGUCACGGCGCGUUUCCCCCCGGGGGCCUUACACACGGUGCGCACCAGGAGCGCAUGCGCACAACACGCUCACCGGGAGUAAACAACAGCCACAGAUGUCUGCAGAGACCCAGGGUUCAGCCUUAAGGUGAAGCUGAACAUCAUAUCAGAGCUGCCGUUUAGAUGCCAGAUGUUUAAGGAUGUUCUAUUGAUGUUUGCAAAGAUAUCUUAUCAUCCAGUACUGAGGAGCAAGAGGAAGAUGAGAAGCAUUUAGUUGGAAAUGUUUCAAAUUCAAUUUUGUGCCAUUAUUGCCUUU